CAGGAAUCGUUGGAAGCAUCUGUGCACACUGGGCAAACAAAGAUGGCGUCCGCGUAUGAUUUUUAUGCGCACAUGGCUCCAAUCAUACCGAUGGCACGCACGAUAUCUGUUGCAUGGUUACAGUAGAGAUUCAACAAGUCAUGUUUUAUUGCUGCGAGUGCUGAGUAGUGUGGUUAUAAUUACUUCAUUUGGCCUGCCACCUCGUUGGAGCGCGAAGGAUGGAUAACAAAGUUUAAGGGUGCAAGGAGGCAGAGCUGAGCAUGAAUGAGAUGGCGAUCCUGUCAUCAACUGCAUCCAAGUUCCACGAAACAUUGGUCUCAACGUUCAAUCUGUAAUAUUUAGGUAUCCUGCUAGUCAAAAUAAAGCUUUCAUUUGACAUAUA